UAACACGUAAGCAACCUGCCUUUAAGACGUGGAUAACAAUUGGAAACAGUUGCUAAGACUGGAUAGGAAAUUAAGAGGCAUCUUUUAAUUUUUAAAAGACCUUUUUCGAAAGGUAUGCUUAAAGAGGGGCUUGCGCCACAUUAGUUAGUUGGUAAGGUAAAGGCUUACCAAGACGAUGAUGUGUAGCUGGACUGAGAGGUUGAACAGCCACAUUGGGACUGAGACACGGCCCAAACUCCUACGGGAGGCAGCAGUAAGGAAUUUUUGGCAAUGGAGGAAACUCUGACCGAGCGACGCCGCGUGAACAAUGAAGUACUUCGGUAUGUAAAGUUCUUUUAUUGAAAAAGAAAAAAUAGUGGAAAAACUAUCUUGACAUUAUUCAAUGAAUAAGCCCCGGCUAAUUAUGUGCCAGCAGCCGCGGUAAUACAUAAGGGGCGAGCGUUAUCCGGAAUUAUUGGGCGUAAAGGGUGCGUAGGCGGUUUGAUAAGUCUAUAGUUUAAAUGCAGCGCUUAACGCUGUAGCGCUAUAGAAACUGUCUGACUAGAGUUAGAUAGAGGCAAGCGGAAUUCCAUGUGUAGCGGUAAAAUGCGUAAAUAUAUGGAGGAACACCAGAGGCGUAGGCGGCUUGCUGGGUCUUAACUGACGCUGAGCACGAAAGCGUGGGGAGCAAACAGGAUUAGAUACCCUGGUAGUCCACGCCGUAAACGAUGAGUACUAAGUGUCGGGUUUCGGCUCGGUACUGAAGUUAACACAUUAAGUACUCCGCCUGAGUAGUACGUACGCAAGUAUGAAACUUAAAGGAAUUGACGGGACCCCGCACAAGCGGUGGAUCAUGUUGUUUAAUUCGAAGAUACACGAAAAACCUUACCAGGUCUUGACAUAAUUUUGCGACAUUAUAGAAAUAUAAUGAAGGUUAUCAGAAUUACAGGUGGUGCAUGGUUGUCGUCAGCUCGUGUCGUGAGAUGUUAGGUUAAGUCCUAAAACGAGCGCAACCCUUGUCGUUAGUUGCGACCACGUAAUGGUGAGCACUUUAGCGAGACUGCCAAUGAAAAAUUGGAGGAAGGUGAGGAUUACGUCAAAUCAUCAUGCCCCUUAUGAUCUGGGCUACAAACGUGAUACAAUGGCUGUUACAAAGAGUAGCUACAACGUGAGUUUUUAGCCAAUCUCAAAAAAACAGUCUCAGUUCGGAUUGAAGUCUGCAACUCGACUUCAUGAAGUUGGAAUCGCUAGUAAUCGCGAAUCAGCAUGUCGCGGUGAAUACGUUCUCGGGGUUUGUACACACCGCCCGUCAAACCACGAAAGUUGAUAAUACCCGAAAGCGGUCGCCUAA
rnacentral:rRNA from 1 species